rnacentral:rRNA from 1 species
UACGACGUAUCAGAGUUUGAUCCUGGCUCGGGACGAACGCUGGCGGCGUGCCUAACACAUGCAAGUCGAACGGAACUAAUUUGACUGAUUCCUUCGGGAUGAAGAAUUUUUAGUUUAGUGGCGGACGGGUGAGUAACGCGUGAGUAACCUGCCUCUGAGAGGGGAAUAACGUUCUGAAAAGAACGCUAAUACCGCAUGACACAUAUUUGCCGCAUGACAGAUAUGUCAAAGAUUUUAUCGCUCGGAGAUGGACUCGCGUCCGAUUAGUUAGUUGGUGAGGUAACGGCUCACCAAGACCGCGAUCGGUAGCCGGACUGAGAGGUUGAACGGCCACAUUGGGACUGAGACACGGCCCAG